AGAGCCCGCGCAGUUCCCCUCAAAGCCAGGGGCUCUAGGGACGUUGUGUCCAGAAUGUCUGUGGGUUUUGCCACAGCCACACAUGAAAGCCCGAGCUACAGGCAUAUGGAUGGGUCCGCCAGGGGCUAAUGCGCACAACUCAAUACUCUUCAGACAUUCAUCGAGUACCUCCCAGGCUGGAUGAUGGACUGGAUCUGAGAACCAGGAGAGUCACCCUGAAGCCGAUGGUUGAAACAUCUCUGCAGCUGCUGGCACAGGUCUCGGGAUGGGAUGUCUCUGCUUCGCCAGACUGCCUGCUCCCCCGUAGAUGAGUCCCUGGAGGAGUUCGGGCUCAUGGCCCCUCGGACGCAAACCAUUAAGCCACGCUGCAGCAUAAAGGACCAGAAAGUUAAGGAAUGUUUGUUACAAAAGGACCACGGGCCUAGCACCAUGCUAAGGAAUAGAAACAGCCAGAAGAACCAGCACAUGCCCGCCAAGAGCUGAAACCACGCGGAGAGAAAUAUGAAACCU
rnacentral:lncRNA from 1 species